CCUACGGGAGGCAGCAGUAGGGAAUAUUGCUCAAUGGGGGAAACCCUGAAGCAGCAACGCCGCGUGGAGGAUGAAGGUUUUAGGAUUGUAAACUCCUUUUGGGAGAGAAGAGAAUGACGGUAGCUCACGAAUAAGCAACGGCUAACGCCGUGCCAGCAGCCGCGGUAAUACGGAGGGUGCAAGCGUUACUCGGAAUCACUGGGCGUAAAGAGUGCGCAGGCGGGCUUGUAAGUCAGAUGUGAAAUCCUGUCGCUUACCUACAGAACUGCAUUUGAAACUAUGAGUCUAGAGUGUGGGAGGGGUAGGUGGAAUUCUUGGUGUAGGGGUCAUAUCCUUAGCUAUCAAGAGGCAUCCUCAUUGCGCAGGCGACCUACUGGAACAUUACUGCCGCUCAUGCACGAACGCGUGGGGAGCAAACAGGAUUCGCUACCCUGGUAGUC
rnacentral:rRNA from 1 species